GCCGCAAGUUGUUCUACCGCUGUCCCGACCUGUCGGGAGGGAGGAAAGUCCGGGCAACUAAGAGCACCGCACCCUUUGAAAGGAGGGGAUUCCGCUAACACGGAAGCCAGACAGUGCCACAGAAAACAAACUACCCCAACCCGACUUGUCGGGAUCAGGGAAAAGGUGAAAAGGUGGGGUAAGAGCCCACCGUGUUUGAUGGUAACAUCGGCAGCAUGGCAAACCUUGCGGGUUGUAAGAUCAAAUAAGUUCCGAUUUUGGGUGCUUGAACCAACCUUCGACUUGUCGGAGUAUCGGAAUGGGUAGAUCGCUUAGAUAAAUGGUAGAAGUUCACCGACUUGUCGGUGAAAACAGAACCUGGCUUACAGACUUGCGCUUUUU
rnacentral:RNase_P_RNA from 1 species